CACUAGACGUGCUUGACAAUUCAGUGACGUAAGCAAUGUUAUGGUUAUGGGGAAUCCCCGGCGUGAGCGACGCCAGUGUUAGUUUAUGUUAUCAGCUGUUAAAUUAAAACAAGGCAUAAGUUCGAUGUUACUUUACAAGGAAAUAAUCGCCAUUCCAAAAUGGGACAAAGAGUUCAACACUCAGCAAGCUGCAUGUUGAAGAAAUCUUGCUCCAAGGCUAUCUUCACUGCCACGAUGAAAAGCUGUUUGACUUUAAUGAUCUUCGUUAUUUUGGUUUGUCGUGUUGGAGCAAACUUUCCCUGCAGACCUGAACAGAUCCAUUGGAAUACUACAGUGGGAAAGAGACCGAAAUGUUUUGACUGUCCUGACUGUCUCCCAGGGACAGAACCCUCAGUCCCGUGUGGGACCUCAGUAAACGACUGG